rnacentral:rRNA from 1 species
UGAGGAAUAUUGGUCAAUGGGCGAGAGCCUGAACCAGCCAAGUAGCGUGCAGGAUGACGGCCCUAUGGGUUGUAAACUGCUUUUAUAUGGGAAUAAAGUGAGGGACGUGUCGCUUAUUGCAUGUACCAUACGAAUAAGGACCGGCUAAUUCCGUGCCAGCAGCCGCAGUAAUACGGAAGGUCCAGGCGUUAUCCGGAUUUAUUGGGUUUAAAGGGAGCGUAGGCUGUUUGUUAAGCGUGUUGUGAAAUGUAAGAGCUCAACUUUUAGAUUGCAGCGCGAACUGGCAGACUUGAGUGCGCACAACGUAGGCGGAAUUCAUGGUGUAGCGGUGAAAUGCUUAGAUAUCAUGACGAACUCCGAUGGCGAAGGCAGCUUACGGGAGCGCAACUGACGCUAAAGCUCGAAGGUGCGGGUAGCGAACAGG